rnacentral:rRNA from 1 species
GGUUGAGCGGCGGACGGGUGAGUAACGCGUGAGAAUCUGCCUUGGGGUCGGGGACAACCACUGGAAACGGUGGCUAAUACCGGAUAAGCCUUUGGGUAAAAGAUUUAUUGCCCCAAGAGGAGCUCGCGUCUGAUUAGCUAGUUGGUGAGGUAAAAGCUCACCAAGACAGCGAUCAGUAGCUGGUCUGAGAGGACGAUCAGCCACACUGGGACUGAGACACGGCCCAGACUCCUACGGGAGGCAGCAGUGGGGAAUUUUCCGCAAUGGGCGAAAGCCUGACGGAGCAAGACCGCGUGAGGGAGGAAGGCUCUUGGGUUGUAAACCUCUUUUCUCAGGGAAGAAGCUCUGACGGUACCUGAGGAAUCAGCCUCGGCUAACUCCGUGCCAGCAGCCGCGGUAAUACGGAGGAGGCAAGCGUUAUCCGGAAUUAUUGGGCGUAAAGCGUCCGCAGGUGGCGACUCAAGUCUGCUGUCAAAGCACGGGGCUUAACUCCGUUAAGGCAGUGGAAACUGAAUAGCUAGAGUGCCGUAGGGGUAGAGGGAAUUCCCGGUGUAGCGGUGAAAUGCGUAGAGAUCGGGAAGAACAUCGGUGGCGAAAGCGCUCUACUGGACGGCAACUGACACUCAGGGACGAAAGCUAGGGGGGCGAAUGGGAUUAGAUACCCCAGUAGUCCUAGCUGUAAACGAUGGAUACUAGGUGUAGCUUGUAUCGACCCGAGCUGUGCCGAAGCUAACGCGUUAAGUAUCCCGCCUGGGGAGUACGCACGCAAGUGUGAAACUCAAAGGAAUUGACGGGGGCCCGCACAAGCGGUGGAGUAUGUGGUUUAAUUCGAUGCACGCGAAGAACCUUACCAGGGCUUGACAUGUCCGGAAUCCCGUGAAAGCUGGGAGUGCUUCGGGAGCCGGACACAGUGGUGCAUGCGUCGUCAGCUCGUGUCGUGAGAUGUUGGGUUAAGUCCCGCACGAGCGCACCUCGUCUCUAGUUGCCAGCAUUAAGUUGGCACUCGAGAGACUGCCGGUGACAAACCGGAGGAAGUGGGGAGACGUCAAGUCAGCAUGCCCCUUACGCUCUGGGCGACACACGUACUACAAUGGUCGGGACAGAGGGCAGCGAACCU